GAAACACUCUGCUACAGAACAAGUGUCUUGGUUCACAGCAAAGAGGACAAAGAAAACAGCAAGUUUUAGGGGGUUGAAUCCUGGAUUGUGAAAUGUUGGUGCCAAAUGAACUUUUCUGGUUCUUCUGAAUGAAUCAAAGGACUCAGCAGCAUGUCACAGAGGAGGAUUGAAUCACAAAUGAAGUCGAUUUAGAGGUACCUCUUUAAAGUAAUGAUGAAGCACUGAUUUUUCUAAUGUGUCCCCCAGCACCG
rnacentral:lncRNA from 1 species